CUGCCUUGCUCAUUGCGUCCUUGGUAGUGUGGCUCAGACUUUCCCUUGGGUGAGUCCCUUAUGAUGGUGUAUGUGGACCCCCCGCCUCUUAUUUUAUAAUGGGGCCUGGAGAUGCUUGGGCCAGCCCCACAGAGAGCCCUCCUAGCCCCCCUGUCACUGAAUGCUUCUUCGGGGAGCGAUGCAAGGGAAGGAGCUGACAGUGCAAUGGCUGUUCCCUGGGAGGUGACGGAUGAGCUGAGGUGCUCUGUAGUCCUCAAAUACAAUUUACUCUACAAUUACUGCCUGCUCUCUGCAAGCGCAGGGUGAAUGCAGAGGCGUGAUGGGGAGAUGGGAAAACCUCGGGCUGGCCUGGAGCAAGGGGGCAUGUCUAAAAACCAAGCCGGAGAAAGCUCUGGAUUCCCUGUGCCCGUUGUAGAGGGGCAGUGCUUUGCAGGGUGCUGUGGGCAGUGUCGCCCCGUGGUGUGAGCGGGGGGGAAAUAGGAUGGGCAAGGGGCAGCAUGAUCUUGGUGGGGUGUUUUUUACCCCCAGGCUCAAGGAUCUCCAUCCCCUGGGAAAUCUGAAGUGAGCAGUAAGAAGCUCAGCUGCUCUCUGCAGGAAAUCUGCUCUGGGCUGGGAAUCGGAGAGGAGUUUUCCGAGCUGUAGCUGCCCUCAGCUUUCUAUCGCAGGCUAUUAACAGCAUGCCUGGAGAUCCUGCUGUUUGCAUUUACCAGGUCUGAAGCAAUGCGUGGAGGCAGGGCUGCUGCUGUGAGAGGAUGCGUGGGCUGGAGGCCUUGCAGGUAGCUGUACCAACACCCAUGUUAAUGGUUGCAACUCUCAUGGGUUGGAUCCAUCCCGGUGCCCUAAUCCCAGUCCUCAUGGCCACAGACUAAGCCCAGAGGGAGCCAGUUUAUAAAAGGGACAACUCUGAAGUCCCGCAGCAACUGAUCUCCAGGUUUAGUACUCCCAAGCCCUGUGCUCAGCUCUGUUCCCUGCCCUGCUACAUGGGAAGAGGCUGGUGACGGGGCUAAUGCCACUUCAUCCUUCAGAGAAAAUUCAAUGUGGGGAGAAAAAAAAAAAUCUCCAGCCCUUGUGAGUGUAACAGCCAAUCUCCAAAUCCACCUCUCUGCACUGUAAUUGUUGGUAGUUUGCUGAGUCCUCCCUGAUUCGACAUGUCUCGGUCCCAGCACAGAUGCCCAGGGCUGGAGAGCUGCAGGUGGAGCCAGGGACUCACGGCAGGUGGUACUAGAGGGGCUGGGCUGCAGCAGGUGAGGCUGCCUGACCACAGCUGAGAGCCACAAAGCAGGUGCCUGUGUGCUGGGGGGUCCGACCCUCAUGUUUCUCCUUGAUGCAGGCCUAUCAGCUCUGCUGCAUCCAUCACCCAAGUAUCCAGGCAUGUUGACUGGGCUUGACUUGCCUUGUGCAGGGGUAACGGUGGCUCACUGCUUUCUCUGUGCCGGGGGAACCUCAUGGGCAAAUCAGAAGGCACAAGUCAAAGCCACAAGGAGGUAAACUGCUUGGAUCAGAUCACAGGAGACGGUGACAGUGAAGGAGCAGAGAUCACAGAACUGCAACAAAUCCACACCCGUCGAGGAACCGGACAGCGACGACAGAGGCAGAACUCAGAACCUGCUGCUGCAAAAUUCAUUCCCAUUCUGCAGGAGCGUAACGAGAGCCACUCUUAACGGUUUGCAGUACAGAGUCCGUGACACACAGUUGUGUGGUCCCAAUUUUUUCUAGUAGAGGGCACUGCUGUGCAUUUACACCGGAGUGAAAUGGAAAGAGAACCUGGGAUUUCUUCAUCUCUUUAACCACUUGAAUGCGUCUGGGUCACCUGUGGAGACGUGCUUCCUGAACUGUCCGCUGUCUUUUACCCCCAGUUGUAUAGCGAGACCUUUUCCCUAAUCUUAUGCACUUUUCUAAUGCACAAGCCAGUUUUGGAAUCUUGUUUUCCAUUUGAUUUUAGAAAGAGACCACCACCAACCAAAAAAGCCCCCAAAACCCAUAGCCUGCUGGUUACAAUAUGCUGGCAGGGGCUGGUAUGAAUUGGUAUGCAUUACAGCCCGAAGAGAGAGACGCCCAUCUCAUCUCUACUUGCCAAAGCUGAAGGGAGCUAUGCAACAGAGAGACCUCUGUGCCCCAGGAAUUAAUGGUUUUUGGUAUUAAUUACUCAUUGGACUUUAAAGCCCAUACAUUUGGUGCUGUGGAAAUGGGGAAGGGAAGCUGGGAUUCAGAGGCAAAGGGCAGGGACCCUUGCAGGGGAGCGGUGUUCUCCAGCAUUGCCCUAAAUUAGCAGGCCUUGCUCCUAGAAAACCUCAGUUUAAAGCUUGGUUCACAGAAACCUGUGGAAGAUUUUUCUGCUUAAACCAAGUGUCCUGAAACCAUCCCCAGCACAAGUCCUUCGAAAUCAAUCCACGAGGAAAAACAAAAGCCGAUACCGGGAAUGGAUUUGACCCUGUGUAUUUUCUGCCUGACAUCUGGCGUCCCUUUUUUCUUGUGGUUUUUAUUACUAGGCACACUUGGAGUAAAAAUAAGCACAAACUCUGAUCUUUUCUUCUUUUGGGGUUCUCUGCUCAUUCCUCACUUAGGACCACAUUAACAUUUGAUCUCUGCAGCCACCGAUCGUGAUGUCGUUAGGAAAAGUUUGCGGUUUCCCAGGACGAGUAAGCAGCAGCAGUAGGAAGCACAGGGGCGACUCGCAGCCAACAAGGAACCGUCCUGCUUUCCUGCAGAAAUCAUAAACCAGGAGGGAAGGGACCAGAAUAAGAAAUGGAGGUGGGAAAGGCUUGUCAGCUCAUGGGAAAGUCUCCAGAAACAGCAAUCUUUGUCCACAAAGUCCUGUUCAUGCCAGCAGAUUUCAUUGCCUCUAAGGUUUUUCUCAGGGGCAUCUUGAGGGGGGAGAAAAAAACCAGCUAUUACAAGACCAUUUCUCCAUAUGCAAACAAGAAAACGCACAAAACUGCUCAUCUGACACAACCGCUAAACAAACCACACUGCCCAGCGCCCACAACUCCUAGAAGGGUCUUCCCAUGUUUCCCCCCCACUUCACUCCUCCAGUGGUUCCUCAUUUUUACCUAGCGGAUUGCUUUCUCUGAGGUUUUUAUACUGCCACAUAAAACCCCCAGCAGGCAUUUCUGGCAGUACUUUUGCUCAGGAUUUUUUUUUUUUUUGGGUGGUUGGUAGGGUCAUAAGGCUUCCACCUAGCAUAGAGAAAAAGCAUCAGUUGGAUGAUAAGGGAUGUCAAACGAGGGACCGGGCCCUCCGUGCCAUAGGUGGUACUGGAUCCACUUUCACAGCUGGCAGGAGGGGAAGCGGGGAGUCAGAUCCUCCUCUUCGUGACUCCACUGACAAUGGACCUAUGCUGACUUACCCCUGCCAAGGCUCUUGGUAAAGUCUGUAUUGUCUCUGUGUGCAUUCCCCAGCAUCUCUAUUGCAUCUUCCUACAAGGACAACCGUGGACAAACAAAAGGAGGCUGCACUCGGAAGAUGCCUUGCGCUCUGCUGCUUGUAAUUGUUCUGUCACUGAAGAAUGAAGGCAGCUCAGACAAUGUUAUCUGACAGGCACCGCUUCAUUGUUCCCCUGAAGUUUAUUAUUUUUUUCCCAGGGUUGUGCAUUGUGAAGUUCAGACUGCUCCCCUGCAUUUGCUGCCAUUUAUCUAUAAUUUAGUAUGGGUUUUAGUUAUAUGAUAAUUGAGUUUCAUGUGUCACAGUGUGUCUCAAACAGAAAAUAUAAAUAUUUAACAGCCUCCACUAGUAAUAAAGAUUCGCAUUUGCCUCAUU